GACGAACGCUGGCGGCGUGCCUAAUACAUGCAAGUCGAACGCUGAAGGAGGAGCUUGCUCUUCUGGAUGAGUUGCGAACGGGUGAGUAACGCGUAGGUAACCUGCCUUGUAGCGGGGGAUAACUAUUGGAAACGAUAGCUAAUACCGCAUAACAGUAGAUGUUGCAUGACAUUUACUUAAAAGGUGCAAUUGCAUCACUACCAGAUGGACCUGCGUUGUAUUAGCUAGUUGGUGGGGUAACGGCUCACCAAGGCGACGAUACAUAGCCGACCUGAGAGGGUGAUCGGCCACACUGGGACUGAGACACGGCCCAGACUCCUACGGGAGGCAGCAGUAGGGAUUCUUCGGCAAUGGACGGAAGUCUGACCGAGCAACGCCGCGUGAGUGAAGAAGGUUUUCGGAUCGUAGAGCUCUGUUGUAAGGGAAGAACGAGUGUGAGAGUGGAAAGUUCACACUGUGACGGUAUCUUACCAGAAAGGGACGGCUAACUACGUG
rnacentral:rRNA from 1 species